rnacentral:rRNA from 1 species
CUGACAUAAGUAACGAUAAAGCGGGUGAAAAGCCCGCUCGCCGGAAGACCAAGGGUUCCUGUCCAACGUUAAUCGGGGCAGGGUGAGUCGACCCCUAAGGCGAGGCCGAAAGGCGUAGUCGAUGGGAAACAGGUUAAUAUUCCUGUACUUGGUGUUACUGCGAAGGGGGGACGGAGAAGGCUAUGUUAGCCGGGCGACGGUUGUCCCGGUUUAAGCAUGUAGGCUGGUUGUCCAGGCAAAUCCGGAUAAUCAAGGCUGAGGUGUGAUGACGAGGCACUACGGUGCUGAAGUAACAAAUGCCCUGCUUCCAGGAAAAGCCUCUAAGCAUCAGGUAACAUCAAAUCGUACCCCAAACCGACACAGGUGGUCAGGUAGAGAAUACCAAGGCGCUUGAGAGAACUCGGGUGAAGGAACUAGGCAAAAUGGUGCCGUAACUUCGGGAGAAGGCACGCUGGUGUGUAGGUGAAGCCCCUGCGGGUGGAGCUGAGACCAGUCGAAGAUACCAGCUGGCUGCAACUGUUUAUUAAAAACACAGCACUGUGCAAACACGAAAGUGGACGUAUACGGUGUGACGCCUGCCCGGUGCCGGAAGGUUAAUUGAUGGGGUUAUCCGUAAGGAGAAGCUCUUGAUCGAAGCCCCGGUAAACGGCGGCCGUAACUAUAACGGUCCUAAGGUAGCGAAAUUCCUUGUCGGGUAAGUUCCGACCUGCACGAAUGGCGUAAUGAUGGCCAGGCUGUCUCCACCCGAGACUCAGUGAAAUUGAACUCGCUGUGAAGAUGCAGUGUACCCGCGGCAAGACGGAAAGACCCCGUGAACCUUUACUAUAGCUUGACACUGAACAUUGAGCCUUGAUGUGUAGGAUAGGUGGGAGGCUUUGAAGCGUGGACGCCAGUCUGCGUGGAGCCAACCUUGAAAUACCACCCUUUAAUGUUUGAUGUUCUAACGUUGGCCCCUGACCGGGGUUGCGGACAGUGUCUGGUGGGUAGUUUGACUGGGGCGGUCUCCUCCCAAAGCGUAACGGAGGAGCACGAAGGUUAGCUAAUCCUGGUCGGACAUCAGGAGGUUAGUGCAAUGGCAUAAGCUAGCUUGACUGCGAGCGUGACGGCGCGAGCAGGUGCGAAAGCAGGUCAUAGUGAUCCGGUGGUUCUGAAUGGAAGGGCCAUCGCUCAACGGAUAAAAGGUACUCCGGGGAUAACAGGCUGAUACCGCCCAAGAGUUCAUAUCGACGGCGGUGUUUGGCACCUCGAUGUCGGCUCAUCACAUCCUGGGGCUGAAGUAGGUCCCAAGGGUAUGGCUGUUCGCCAUUUAAAGUGGUACGCGAGCUGGGUUUAGAACGUCGUGAGACAGUUCGGUCCCUAUCUGCCGUGGGCGCUGGAGAAUUGAGGGGGGCUGCUCCUAGUACGAGAGGACCGGAGUGGACGCAUCACUGGUGUUCGGGUUGUCAUGCCAAUGGCACUGCCCGGUAGCUAAAUGCGGAAGAGAUAAGUGCUGAAAGCAUCUAAGCACGAAACUUGCCCCGAGAUGAGUUCUCCCUGAGACUUUAAGUCUCCUGAAGGAACGUUAAAGACGAUGACGUUGAUAGGCCGGGUGUGUAAGCGCAGCGAUGCGUUGAGCUAACCGGUACUAAUGAACCGUGAGGCUUAACCUU